GCUGCCCCUCUCCUGAUGCUUUGCUCGUGGUGUUGGGAGAAGGGCUGUUCUUGACCCAACCUACUCAGCCUCUCCUUACAGAAGAUGCUGCACCUGCCCUUGGGACAUCCCCCACGUGUAGCCAUGUAGUAGAUUACACAGAAGUACCCAUGCACGUGCUGAAGCAGAGAUGGAUUUUGUGGCCACAACAGACAACUUGUGUACAGACCGAGGGGGAGCAGGAAUGAUGGUGUUUUAGCCCUUCUCUCUGCACGGUUUUCAGUAGGAGUGUGGGAGAUGGGGACAGGACUGAGGAGGAUAAAUCCACACCGGGUAGAGAAGACAUCCCUACUUUGUUGGCAUAGGGUGUCCAGCAGGGCAUUAAAUGAAAAGUACAUUCUUCUACACACAGGAAGAGAAGGUGGCAGCAGCAGUAAGGAAGGUAAAUUCCUUUGUUCUGUUACAUGUUUUCUUGGUGGUGCAAAAGCCUGCCACUAGAUUUAGUGGAGUAUCGGCUGCACUGCGCAUUUUGAUUACUUGGUCCUUUCUUUAUAUUGUUCUUGUUUUAGGGUCUUGUAGAUUUGACAAGUCAGCAAGAAUUCGUACCCUCUUCUUCCUCCCUUCCACAAACCACAGGGUUACACAUGAUAAAGUUUCUGUCUCUUUCCUCUGGGAACACUCCAUUGACAAAAAGAGCUCAGUUAUGGACUUGAAUUCUACUGAAUUUGGAUCCCUGCGGUCAGAGCUGGGACAGGCCCUGUGGAAGUCACAAAACCUGAGGUGACAGUGUUCUUACAGACUUGAGUGCCAGGCUGCUUGCUCUGUUAUAGGUGUGGAUUAGAGAAAGGAAGGGUUUUUCUUCUUUCCCCCCAUCUUCAAGUAUACUGAAGUAAUCCUAAACUGCAGGAUCUAAUUACCCCAAGCUGUGUGAAACAGCUUCUCUUCAGUGGCCCCCUUGCAGCUGAAGAGGAAAGGCAGUAGCUCUACACUUACACUUAUGAAAGGGCAUAUAGAAUUACUCUCACUUGUGUUGCUUACCCCCUUCCCAAAAGUGCCUCAAUAUCUGUCCUUGAGUGGCCUGUACCUUAACGAAAUAUCUACCUUAGACCCAUUCUUUCUUCACUUUGUCCCUGUCUGCAGCACACCCUAAAGCUGAGAUGCUAAAACAGCAGAGGACCGGAUCUAUGAAAAAAGUGGUAAAUACUUAAGGAACUGCAGUGCUAAACAAGGAGCUGCCAAGGAGAAGGCUUUCAAGAGAUGGUGCCACUUAAAUUCAGGUGGCAGUUUGGUUGCUGAAAAAUGCUGAUGGUAACUUAGCUCUAAAACACUAACUCUGGCCCAACGGACCAGGCCAGAGCCAAGACAGAACCACUUCUGCCGCAGCCUUCUGUGGGUUCUGCUGGGAGUCACCAUCUCCUAGCCCCGUGCCAGCAAUGCAGCAGUCUGUGCACCUGGGUUGGACACCAGUUUAAAGUCUGGUUGGAGAUGAAGUGCCUCUUGUUGUGGUGGUUGCAGUUGGCUGUUUCUUUCCUAACCUGCCUUCUGGAGAGCAAGUUACUACUACAAGACUCCAGCCCUGCUGCUUGUGAGAGUCUGAGUUCUCAUCAUGGCUGGGGCUGGGUUCAAGGGCUGAUGAAAGCUGUCAUUGCAAGUGCUCCUUCCCAGGGCAAGUUCUGCUGCCAGAAUCCUAGGUCCUUCCUUUCCACAUGGCUCUGACUGCAGCGAGGUUAAUGCUUUAGACUGUAUUUUACACUAAGCAAUGCUUUCUAAUGGCCACCAAUGUAAAAUUUCAUUAGUACUGGACAUACUGAGGUUCUUAAGUUUGUUCUUGUUUUCAGUUUAAGGCUUAGAGUAAACAAAGUAAGCUGGAGUUAUAACCCUUCCCGACAUUUAAUUUCAGCUCCAGCAGUAUGGCAGCACUAGUACAGCCCUAGUGAGGAGAUCUUGCUAUUCUGGCACAAAACCUAGAAGUGCUUCUGGCAGCAUCAUCUCUCACUCACUGACCAGAGCAAGCUCAUGCUACAGAGCUACUUGAUUCUGCUGCUGUGGGGUGACCACAGCCCAACUGCUGUGCCAGGUCUUCAGCAUGUCUCAUGUCAGGCAUGAAACGUGCCGCAGGCCAAGUCACCUGUAUGUGUCUACUCCACACCACAAGCAGACACAUACAACAGUAGUAGCGUCUACUCCAGUAGGCUGCACAACAGGAUAAAGUGGUUCCCAGUGAAAUAUGGAGAGGUGACACAUUAUCUCCUGUGCCUAGUGAAGGCAGCAGCUGUGCACGACUUUAAUUUGGCUUAGUCUGCUUAAUUUGAGCACUGGGAAAGCUAUGAGAACAGUAUUGCUUUGACUCCAUGUACAUAACCUGUGCUUCAAAGUGCAAGCUCUCUAUUGCCAUUAAAAUGAAGGGGGAUGGUGGUGGUGGUAUAAGAUUUAAGCCACCACUCCUUGACUCUUGGGUCCAUAUAGGGCAGAGGCUGCAGGGCUGGCUUUGGGCAGCAGCACUCAGCAUGUGUGUGACUGCUGAAGUGACCUCCCUGACUGGUGUGCUCAGCUGGGGUAUGGGAACAGCCCCAGGCUGGACAGGGUGAGCCCAGGGGAACCACACCACCACAUGGCCCAGGUCCACCUCCUUAAGUUAAAUCACCAUCACUUUUUUCCUACUUGGAGCUGACCCUCUCUUGGUCUCUUAGGAAGGCUGCCUGGCUUCCUCCAAGAAAGAGGCCUAUGGUUACACUGUAGAAGUUAGGGAGCUACAGUUAGCUCCCAGUGGAAGCUGCUUCUGAUCCCUGCAGUAUCUGCAGGGCGGGGAAGGAGCACUAUUGGUUUGGACAGAACAAGCUGCAGAAGAUGCAUCGCACUGCUAUACAUUUAGGGGGCCUGUCCCCAUUUUUAAUUUACAGUACAAGCUUUUAUUUGAGUGUAAAGCUAAAACCCACUCAGACCAAAACUAUGCCACUUGCUUCAUUAAGUAGCAAAGACUAAUGGGGCUGACUCUGAAGCAUGCAUGUUAGGGGCUAUCUAUCUUCUACUAGGCUUCUGGGUGUAAGCACAGUCAUGGACUUGCAGGGAUGUCAGAUUCUAUGUUGGAGAGGCCUGUCUGGGGGGGAGAGACCCUGACUGAUCCUCAAGUCACCCAUUAUCCAAGGAACUGGUCAUAUUGUUCCUCUUUAUAUGCAAGUGCAGCCCUCUUGGGGAAAACUGGCUAAAGCUUCUUGUGCCAUUUGGUUAAUAAAAGUGUUUCCACCUUUAAUAGUUAUUUCCAGCUUCAUUGCUCUACAUUCAGUUUAAGUGAAGGGGUAUGUGCAUUUUUUUCCCCUCUGCUAAUGGGACACUGCUGUAAGACCAUGCCCCCCAGUUGCACUUUAAUAAAUGGUACAGUUUUCAAAAACCA